rnacentral:rRNA from 1 species
UAUUACAAUGAAGAGUUUGAUCCUGGCUCAGGAUGAACGCUAGCUACAGGCUUAACACAUGCAAGUCGAGGGGCAGCAUGGUCUUAGCUUGCUAAGGCCGAUGGCGACCGGCGCACGGGUGAGUAACACGUAUCCAACCUGCCGUCUACUCUUGGACAGCCUUCUGAAAGGAAGAUUAAUACAAGAUGGCAUCAUGAGUCCGCAUGUUCACAUGAUUAAAGGUAUUCCGGUAGACGAUGGGGAUGCGUUCCAUUAGAUAGUAGGCGGGGUAACGGCCCACCUAGUCUUCGAUGGAUAGGGGUUCUGAGAGGAAGGUCCCCCACAUUGGAACUGAGACACGGUCCAAACUCCUACGGGAGGCAGCAGUGAGGAAUAUUGGUCAAUGGGCGAGAGCCUGAACCAGCCAAGUAGCGUGAAGGAUGACUGCCCUAUGGGUUGUAAACUUCUUUUAUAAAGGAAUAAAGUCGGGUAUGGAUACCCGUUUGCAUGUACUUUAUGAAUAAGGAUCGGCUAACUCCGUGCCAGCAGCCGCGGUAAUACGGAGGAUCCGAGCGUUAUCCGGAUUUAUUGGGUUUAAAGGGAGCGUAGAUGGAUGUUUAAGUCAGUUGUGAAAGUUUGCGGCUCAACCGUAAAAUUGCAGUUGAUACUGGAUAUCUUGAGUGCAGUUGAGGCAGGCGGAAUUCGUGGUGUAGCGGUGAAAUGCUUAGAUAUCACNGGCCAAGCGAAAGCGUUAAGUAUUCCACCUGGGGAGUACGCCGGCAACGGUGAAACUCAAAGGAAUUGACGGGGGCCCGCACAAGCGGAGGAACAUGUGGUUUAAUUCGAUGAUACGCGAGGAACCUUACCCGGGCUUAAAUUGCAGAUGAAUUACGGUGAAAGCCGUAAGCCGCAAGGCAUCUGUGAAGGUGCUGCAUGGUUGUCGUCAGCUCGUGCCGUGAGGUGUCGGCUUAAGUGCCAUAACGAGCGCAACCCUUGUUGUCAGUUACUAACAGGUUCCGCUGAGGACUCUGACAAGACUGCCAUCGUAAGAUGUGAGGAAGGUGGGGAUGACGUCAAAUCAGCACGGCCCUUACGUCCGGGGCUACACACGUGUUACAAUGGGGGGUACAGAGGGCCGCUACCACGCGAGUGGAUGCCAAUCCCCAAAACCUCUCUCAGUUCGGACUGGAGUCUGCAACCCGACUCCACGAAGCUGGAUUCGCUAGUAAUCGCGCAUCAGCCACGGCGCGGUGAAUACGUUCCCGGGCCUUGUACACACCGCCCGUCAAGCCAUGGGAGCCGGGGGUACCUGAAGUGCGUAACCGCGAGGAGCGCCCUAGGGUAAAACUGGUGACUGGGGCUAAGUCGUAACAAGGUAGCCGUACCGGAAGGUGCGGCUGGAACACCUCCUUUCUGGAG